UAGUGAUUUCAGCUCUUUUAGUAUUUGUCUAGCAGGUUUCCGGCUCUGCCCGGAAGCCUCU
rnacentral:snRNA from 1 species